ensembl:snRNA U5 U5 spliceosomal RNA
AUACUCUGGUUUCUCUUUAGAUCAAAUAAAUCUUUCGCCUUUUACUAAAGAUUUCCGUGGAGAGAAACAAAUCUGAGUGUUCAGUAAAUUUUUUGAGGCCUUGCUUUGGCAGAGCU